UUGACCUCGGAUCAGGUAGGGAUACCCGCUGAACUUAAGCAUAUCAAUAAGCGGAGGAAAAGAAACCAACAGGGAUUGCCCUAGUAACGGCGAGUGAAGCGGCAACAGCUCAAAUUUGAAAUCUGGCGUCUUUGGCGUCCGAGUUGUAAUUUGCAGAGGGCGCUUUGGCAUCGGCAGCGGUCCAAGUUCCUUGGAACAGGACGUCACAGAGGGUGAGAAUCCCGUACGUGAUCGCUAGCCUUUACCGUGUAAAGCCCCUUCGACGAGUCGAGUUGUUUGGGAAUGCAGCUCUAAAUGGGAGGUAAAUUUCUUCUAAAGCUAAAUACUGGCCAGAGACCGAUAGCGCACAAGUAGAGUGAUCGAAAGAUGAAAAGCACUUUGGAAAGAGAGUUAAAAAGCACGUGAAAUUGUUGAAAGGGAAGCGCUUGCAGCCAGACUUGCCUGUAGUUGCUCAUCCGGGUUUCUACCCGGUGCACUCUUCUAUAGGCAGGCCAGCAUCAGUUUGGGCGGUUGGAUAAAGGUCUCUGUCAUGUACCUCUCUUCGGGGAGAACUUAUAGGGGAGACGACAUGCAACCAGCCCGGACUGAGGUCCGCGCAUCU
rnacentral:rRNA from 1 species